rnacentral:RNase_P_RNA from 1 species
AGAGUUGGUCAGACAGUCGCUGUAUUACUUGAACUUUAGUAAUACAGAGGAAAGUCCGGGCUCCACAGGGCAAGGUACCAGAUAACAUCUGGGAGGCGCAAGUCUACGGAAAGUGCAGCAGAAAAUAAACCGCCCAGCCCAUGAAACCAAGUUUCAUGGGCUGGGUAAGGGUGAAAUGGUGCGGUAAGAGCGCACCGCGUGACUGGUAACAGAAGCGGCAUGGUAAACCCUACCUGGAGCAAGAUCAAAUAGAGGGGCAGACGCGCGGCCCGCGCGGCUCCUGGGUAGAUCGCUUGAGUUAUAAGGUGACUUAUGGCCUAGAUGAAUGACUGUCCAAGACAAAACCCGGCUUAUCGACCAACUCUAACU